CCUACGGGCGGCAGCAGUGGGGAAUAUUGCACAAUGGGCGCAAGCCUGAUGCAGCCAUGCCGCGUGUGUGAAGAAGGCCUUCGGGUUGUAAAGCACUUUCAGCGGGGAGGAAGGCGUUAAGGUUAAUAACCUUGGCGAUUGACGUUACCCGCAGAAGAAGCACCGGCUAACUCCGUGCCAGCAGCCGCGGUAAUACGGAGGGUGCAAGCGUUAAUCGGAAUUACUGGGCGUAAAGCGCACGCAGGCGGUCUGUCAAGUCGGAUGUGAAAUCCCCGGGCUCAACCGGGGAACUGCAUUCGAAACUGGGAGGCUAGUGGCUUGUAGAGGGGGGUAGAAUUCCAGGUGUAGCGGUGAAAUGCGUAGAGAGCUGGAGGAAUACCGGUGGCGAAGGCGGCCCCCUGGACAAAGACUGACGCUCAGGUGCGAAAGCGUGGGGAGCAAACAGGAUUAGAUACCCAGUAGUC
rnacentral:rRNA from 1 species